GCCUCUUUCACACUUGAGAGGGAUUUCUGUCUGGGAGAGAGCGUAUUUCAUGAGGGCACCACGUCAUCUUCAUCAUCGUGAUGGAACUGGCCUUUUAUCCGGCGCUGGCACUGAUGUAUUUCUUUGGAGUGAUGAAGGCCGCGCAGGAUGACCGGGUGGAGCUGACCGACCACGCGUCGAUGAACGUGUUCUGUCUGUUCGUGCUGGCACAGCCGCUGUGUCUCGUAAUCGGUGGAUACACUGGCAUGGCUACUUACCUUCUCACCGUUCUGGUAUCCUACAACUUCCUGCCAUGGAAAAGCAGCACAAAAAAGCAAGCAAAAGAAAAAGACUCAGAGAAGAAGACAAAGUGAGAGGCAGAAACACACAUUACAUGGAAAUACCAAGAAAGUGGAUUCAAAAGGGGACUGGAAAGUAUUUAAAUAAAGAAAAAAAAUUAUAAAUAAAUAGCUAUUUCACAACACAUUAUGUGUGAUUUAACCUGUUGUCAUAAAUCUGUUGUUUUGUCUGCAGUUGUAAUGAUCUGUGAGAAAGUAUUUGUAUUUUCAUACACAAAGUGACCCAUUUUAUGAUUCUUGAUGUAGAUGAUGUUGUUGUAAAUACAUUCAGCUGGGUGACUCAAGAGCCACAAGAGAGAAAAUUGCAAACAAAAGGAACAUUAAAUCCAAAAAAACUUCACCAAGUGAAAAAAUAUACAGAAUAGUGCACAGCACAAACAGAGCUAUCCUUGAAAUCAAUCGUUUCUAGACCUACUGGCUGGGAACUUUUCAAAUAAGUUGCAUACUUACUUCCACACCUUUAUGAUCAGGUUAGAUGAGAGGAUCAACUCCAUAUUUUGUAAUACUGAGCUAAAGCCAGCAGCCUGUGAGUUUAGCACAAAGAUGGGAACGGGGCAAACUAGCUAGCAUGUUGUGCAAUCUGUUGUUUCGUUUGGGGGGGGUUCCCUUUCUUUUUUCCAUUUUCUUACAACAUUACAGAUAAAUAGAGAGCCAUAAAGGUAUCUUUGGACUGAUUCAACCUAGGUCUUUAUGCUAAGACUCCAUAACAAGCCAUCUAACAAUUAAUGAUGGUGGAGCUCCGGUUAGAGAUCCUUUCCCCAGAUUAACUUAAAUUGUAUGCAAUAAGCAAAAGUUGGAGCUAGGGUCAUAAAGCUCACAGCAACCUUAAUCAGUUGCCCAUAAUACUGAUUUCCCUGUCUCUCAUGGAGUUAAGGAAACUGGCAAGAUGGCAAGUACUGUAGAUAUCAUGAACUUAACCCAUGGUUGGGUUUUUUGGCUUUUUUCAACAUUAUUGACAGACAGUAAGAGGAAAGCAGAGGGAGAGCGUCACCUGCUCAACACUGAGUCAAACCAGCGCCCCCUUAGCCCUAAACCCAUCGCCUGCUUCGUUGCAUGAUGCUUCACGUUAAAAUUGAUUCAGUCAACCACUCACUUUUUUUUAUUUACCACAUUUUACAAGACUUAGUUGUUGGUUGUUGGAAGAAUUAACAGUGAGGUGCUCUAUUCUCAGCUGCACUGAUUACACCAGGCGCUGUCACAUCUUAGCCAAAUUAAAUAGUCAGAGGUCACAGUUACGCACUGGAGAUAAUUAUGGCGACAGGAGGAUAGCAUAUUCUAAAAUAGUUUCAGGUCUUCAUCACAGCAAAGGGGAAAUCAUCAAAGGAGUUUGGGCUCAUCAUAAUGGUUUGAGGUAAUUGUUGUAUAACUGUAGAGGCGCACUGUGGUCUCAGGACAGCAGCCACUAAGGGAAAUCAGAACCUGUGUGGAACAGAUCUUCUUAUUCGACUCUUGGCAAGAAGUGUACUUCUCAAAAUGAAAAAUUGUUCCUUUAAAACUGAGAAAAUGAUUCAGUGAACAUCUCCGAAUUAUAAUUACAUUGUUAAUGUCAUAAUAUGAAGCCAAUUAGCUCUGGACUGUAAAGUUUGUCAGUGACAAACAAAGAAAGCGUUGGAUUUCACCUAUGACAGUGACACUGAAUGUGUCUCUGGCCUUAUAGCUGAGUCAUUUCUAGUGAACCUGCCUACUUGAAUAUGACUAAUCUGUCAAUUAAUUAAGUAUUCAGUAUAUUAUACACUCAUGAACAGUGUUUCACAAAAGCUCACACUAAACAUAAUUAUUAAAUCAGCACUGUGCUUUUUCCGUCUGUGUUCAUGAAUGACUGAGUGUCCCUCUGAUGUGAAUAAGCCUGGUACCACAGAGCGUCGGGGUGUGCGUAAACCCGGACUCAAAGAGAGAGUGCAUAAUGGGAUUAGACUGUGGUAUAUGGGUGAUAGUCCAAGGCUGUGCUCAGUGGGUGCACAAAUGUGCAAAUGCUUGCUGUUUGAGUGAAAAACAGUGGUUUGUUUUUUUGCAGAAAAAGAAGUUUAUUAGUUCUUCAGCGCUAAUAUCCUCAGUUCACAACUGUCUCUCAGAGUACCUCUCACUUAUUUCUCUUCCUAAGUGUGAAUUUAUGUAGAGUGAAUAAGGUUCUAACCUAAAGUGUCAAUCAUUCGCUAUAAAGGCUCUAAUUCCACAGUUAUUAUCCGUAUAUAUGUUCUUUCAAGGUAUAGCAUUAGCAAAUUGUUCAGCUUUUGCGCUCCACACAUUUGUUCAGUUCCCUAUUCAAUAUGUGUGGAGCAUGUUCUCAGUUUACCUCCCUUAAUGUCACACUGGAGGUGCUUCCUACUGCGUCUUCAUUUUAUUUAAAAUAAUAAGCCUGCAGCUUCCCAUUUAUUGUAACCCCUCCCCCCCUCAACAUGAUUCUUCUUCUUCCCCAGCCAGCACUCAAAACCAAACUCCUUUCUUUUUUGUGUUUCAUCUUCUGUCUCAGUCUUAAUCCUUUUCCACAGUUGGGCUCGUUUCCAUAAUGUCGCUCCUCCUCGCUUGCAUUAUCAUCAAAAAGGGGGGGAAUCUAAUAAAUUAUAUAAUAAAGUGU
ensembl:lncRNA